GGUUCAAAUCCCACAGCUGUCAUCAAAUAAUUUUGUUUUGUUUUUUCUUUGGUCAACAAACUUUUAGGGGGUGUUAUUGGUUCCAAAUUUACAACGAAUUUUGAUGAUUUCAAUCAAAUCCUAGAAAGUAAAGAAAUGAAAGAUUUUAAACGAUUGUUAGAGAGUAUUUUAUAAUCUUGUUGAUUAGUUUUUCAUAAUCUUGUAAAGUUUCUCUAACAAUCUCUUUAUUUUGAUAAUACUUUUCAUGACUUUCCAUGACUUUAUUUUGUGAAGAAAAAUGUAGAAAGUCAUGAACCAAUAACAUAAUAAUUUAAAUCAUUAACAAUCAUUAACAAUCAAAGAUUCUUUUGUUUUAAUUGAAUAACACAAAACUUUUAAUGGCUUUAUAAGAGUAUGAAUCUAAUAAACCAAAAUUU
rnacentral:sRNA from 1 species